rnacentral:lncRNA from 1 species
UGGGGGAAGGGGUGUCACCAAGCCUCAGGAAGCCCCAUUCCUCACCUGCCCUGGCUUCUGGUCAAACUUGCCUUCCAAGCACCUUCUCCAGCUGUCACUGAGGUUCCUUCCCAGGGAUCAGUGGAACUUGGGGACCAGCUGAGUGGAGUGAUACAUUUUCUGGUGUUAGUGACUGAGUUGCCUUCUGAGCCAAACAGCUUGUCUCCAUAAAGGAGGAAUCCAGAUGCUGGGUGCUCAAGCCCCCUCCUCCCCCUGUCAGAGCCUUAUUUCCAUACUCCAGAGUGCAGCUGAAGUGUAUUACCUUGCACCCUGGUAGCGGACCACUGCCAAAGCAUGCAUCAUCAUCAGCUCUGCUACUUCUUAAAGGAACAGGCUUGGAGGUGGUUUUUCCCUCCAUGAUUCCUCUCUGCUAGCUCACUCUUCUGCCAGGGCCCUCCCUUUAUGUAAUAUAGCUGAUCAGUGGCUGAGCCAGGCAGGGGCCAGGACCAGUCCUGGAGCUUGUGAAGGUUCCGCAUUCUAGCCUAGCCUUCAUAUGAGUGAAAAUAAAAAGAGAUGAGAGGGUGGGUCAUUCUUGGCCUCUGCAGCCAGUCUAUCCCCAUCAGUGUGGGUUGUCUGCAGAUUGUGGAGGCAACAGGAGGGAGCUGCCUGGAAGUCGUUGAACUAGGGCCAAAGAUUGGGUAGCAUUUUGACCGGAAGCCUUAAAA